GGGACACGAUGGAACCUCUACGUUGAGCAAUCCUAUCAGCAAUCGUACUAGCUAUCUUCAACAUGGCAUGUGUCAUCCGCUCAAAUCUAGCAACCUCAUCUUUCUUCCCCUUGGAAAAAGUUAAGUCAAUCACAAGCCUAUCGGCAAUAGGCGGACCCUCACGAGCAGCAGUGGAAGCCUUCGGCUUUUUCUCAAUCGGCAUCUUUUAAGUAGGUAAGGAAGAUAUCUUAUUUCCACCUUCAUUCACAGCAGGCUCCACGACAGCAAUUAGACAAGCUAAUGCCUCAUCCUUGAUCUGCUUUAUCUCCUCUCUCGGGAGCAGCCCACCUAUCUCCUAGCGAAGAGG
rnacentral:lncRNA from 1 species